UACGUAGGGUCCGAGCGUUGUCCGGAGUUACUGGGCGUAAAGGGCGCGCAGGCGGCGGCGUGGGCCCGGCGUGAAAGCCCCCGGCUCAACCGGGGAGGGUCGCCGGGGACCGCGCCGCUUGAGGGCGGUAGGGGCUGGUGGAAUGCCGGGUGUAGUGGUGAAAUGCGUAGAGAUCCGGCGGAACACCCGGGGCGAAGGCGGCCAGCUGGGCCGUCCCUGACGCUGAGGCGCGAAGGCGUGGGGAGCGAACGGGAUUAGAUACCCCCGUAGUCC
rnacentral:rRNA from 1 species